AUACGUAGGUGGCAAGCGUUAUCCGGAUUUACUGGGUGUAAAGGGCGUGUAGGCGGGACUGUCAAGUCAGAUGUGAAACCCAUGGGCUCAACCCAUGGCCUGCAUUUGAAACUGUGGUUCUUGAGUGUCGGAGAGGUAAUCGGAAUUCCGUGUGUAGCGGUGAAAUGCGUAGAUAUUAGGAGGAACACCAGUGGCGAAGGCGGCUUUCUGGACUGAUACUGACACUGAGGCACGAAAGCGUGGGGAGC
rnacentral:rRNA from 1 species